UUUAAGCAUCCUUGGGUGGCGAAGAUGAAGGUUCCGCUGACCCAGCCUCAUCCUGUGCUUUAUUUAUGCCUCCUGCAAUGGUAGUACUAAGUGGACGUGAAACACCCGGGACUAACGGUGGAGCAUAACGACCACCAAAAGGAGGUUCCGGACUCGCUGCAAUAGCAUUUUCAUGACAUCUGUGCAAAUAACGCAGCAUUGCUUUCUCCCACGUGCUCAUUUUCUUCGGCAUAUCGUGAGGGCCAACUAUGGUUUUCCCUUUGCUGUGAGAGGAACGACGAUC
rnacentral:lncRNA from 1 species